GGGUUGUGAGGUUAAGCGACUAAGCGUACACGGUGGAUGCCCUGGCAGUCAGAGGCGAUGAAGGGCGUGCUAAUCUGCGAUAAGCGCCGGUAAGGUGAUAUGAACCAUUAUAACCGGCGAUACCCGAAUGGGGAAACCCAGUGUGUUUCGACACACUAUCAUUAACUGAAUCCAUAGGUUAAUGAGGCGAACCGGGGGAACUGAAACAUCUAAGUACCCCGAGGAAAAGAAAUCAACCGAGAUUCCCCCAGUAGCGGCGAGCGAACGGGGAGGAGCCCAGAGCCUGAAUCAGCAUGUGUGUUAGUGGAAGCGUCUGGAAAGGCGCGCGAUACAGGGUGACAGCCCCGUACACAAAAGCGCAUGUGCUGUGAGCUCGAUGAGUAGGGCGGGACACGUGGUAUCCUGUCUGAAUAUGGGGGGACCAUCCUCCAAGGCUAAAUACUCCUGACUGACCGAUAGUGAACCAGUACCGUGAGGGAAAGGCGAAAAGAACCCCGGCGAGGGGAGUGAAAAAGAACCUGAAACCGUGUACGUACAAGCAGUGGGAGCACCCUUUGGGGUGUGACUGCGUACCUUUUGUAUAAUGGGUCAGCGACUUAUAUUCUGUAGCAAGGUUAACCGAAUAGGGGAGCCGGAGGGAAACCGAGUCUUAAUUGGGCGUUAAGUUGCAGGGUAUAGACCCGAAACCCGGUGAUCUAGCCAUGGGCAGGUUGAAGGUUGGGUAACACUAACUGGAGGACCGAACCGACUAAUGUUGAAAAAUUAGCGGAUGACCUGUGGCUGGGGGUGAAAGGCCAAUCAAACCGGGAGAUAGCUGGUUCUCCCCGAAAGCUAUUUAGGUAGCGCCUCGUGAAUUCAUCUCCGGGGGUAGAGCACUGUUUCGGCUAGGGGGCCAUCCCGGCUUACCAACCCGAUGCAAACUGCGAAUACCGGAGAAUGUUAUCACGGGAGACACACGGCGGGUGCUAACGUCCGUCGUGAAGAGGGAAACAACCCAGACCGCCAGCUAAGGUCCCAAAGUCAUGGUUAAGUGGGAAACGAUGUGGGAAGGCCCAGACAGCCAGGAUGUUGGCUUAGAAGCAGCCAUCAUUUAAAGAAAGCGUAAUAGCUCACUGGUCGAGUCGGCCUGCGCGGAAGAUGUAACGGGGCUAAACCAUGCACCGAAGCUGCGGCAGCGACACUAUGUGUUGUUGGGUAGGGGAGCGUUCUGUAAGCCUGUGAAGGUGGCCUGUGAGGGUUGCUGGAGGUAUCAGAAGUGCGAAUGCUGACAUAAGUAACGAUAAAGCGGGUGAAAAGCCCGCUCGCCGGAAGACCAAGGGUUCCUGUCCAACGUUAAUCGGGGCAGGGUGAGUCGACCCCUAAGGCGAGGCCGAAAGGCGUAGUCGAUGGGAAACGGGUUAAUAUUCCCGUACUUGGUGUUACUGCGAAGGGGGGACGGAGAAGGCUAUGUUGGCCGGGCGACGGUUGUCCCGGUUUAAGCGUGUAGGUGUGUGUUCCAGGUAAAUCCGGUUCACUUUAACACUGAGGCGUGAUGACGAGGCACUACGGUGCUGAAGCAACAAAUGCCCUGCUUCCAGGAAAAGCCUCUAAGCAUCAGGUAACAUCAAAUCGUACCCCAAACCGACACAGGUGGUCAGGUAGAGAAUACCAAGGCGCUUGAGAGAACUCGGGUGAAGGAACUAGGCAAAAUGGUGCCGUAACUUCGGGAGAAGGCACGCUGACACGUAGGUGAAGUGAUUUACUCAUGGAGCUGAAGUCAGUCGAAGAUACCAGCUGGCUGCAACUGUUUAUUAAAAACACAGCACUGUGCAAACACGAAAGUGGACGUAUACGGUGUGACGCCUGCCCGGUGCCGGAAGGUUAAUUGAUGGGGUCAGCGCAAGCGAAGCUCCUGAUCGAAGCCCCGGUAAACGGCGGCCGUAACUAUAACGGUCCUAAGGUAGCGAAAUUCCUUGUCGGGUAAGUUCCGACCUGCACGAAUGGCGUAAUGAUGGCCAGGCUGUCUCCACCCGAGACUCAGUGAAAUUGAACUCGCUGUGAAGAUGCAGUGUACCCGCGGCAAGACGGAAAGACCCCGUGAACCUUUACUAUAGCUUGACACUGAACAUUGAGCCUUGAUGUGUAGGAUAGGUGGGAGGCUUUGAAGUGUGGACGCCAGUCUGCAUGGAGCCGGCCUUGAAAUACCACCCUUUAAUGUUUGAUGUUCUAACGUGGACCCGUGAUCCGGGUUGCGGACAGUGUCUGGUGGGUAGUUUGACUGGGGCGGUCUCCUCCUAAAGAGUAACGGAGGAGCACGAAGGUUGGCUAAUCCUGGUCGGACAUCAGGAGGUUAGUGCAAUGGCAUAAGCCAGCUUGACUGCGAGCGUGACGGCGCGAGCAGGUGCGAAAGCAGGUCAUAGUGAUCCGGUGGUUCUGAAUGGAAGGGCCAUCGCUCAACGGAUAAAAGGUACUCCGGGGAUAACAGGCUGAUACCGCCCAAGAGUUCAUAUCGACGGCGGUGUUUGGCACCUCGAUGUCGGCUCAUCACAUCCUGGGGCUGAAGUAGGUCCCAAGGGUAUGGCUGUUCGCCAUUUAAAGUGGUACGCGAGCUGGGUUUAGAACGUCGUGAGACAGUUCGGUCCCUAUCUGCCGUGGGCGCUGGAGAACUGAGGGGGGCUGCUCCUAGUACGAGAGGACCGGAGUGGACGCAUCACUGGUGUUCGGGUUGUCAUGCCAAUGGCACUGCCCGGUAGCUAAAUGCGGAAGAGAUAAGUGCUGAAAGCAUCUAAGCACGAAACUUGCCCCGAGAUGAGUUCUCCCUGAGACUUAGAGUCUCCUGAAGGAACGUUGAAGACGACGACGUUGAUAGGCCGGGUGUGUAAGCGCAGCGAUGCGUUGAGCUAACCGGUACUAAUGAACCGUGAGGCUUAACCUUACAACGCCGAAG
rnacentral:rRNA from 1 species